GCCCUAGUGGUGCAAGAGGUUAAGCACUUGGCUGAUAACCAAAAAGUUGGUAGUUUGAACCCACCCAGUGGCU
rnacentral:tRNA from 1 species